rnacentral:rRNA from 1 species
GACCCUUCGGGGAGCCGUAUACAGGUGUUGCAUGGCUGUCGUCAGCUCGUGUCGUGAGAUGUCGGUUAAGUCCGCUAACGAGCGCAACCCUCGUCGUAUGUUAUAUGUGUCAUACGAGACUGCCGGUAAAAGCCGGAGGAAGGUGAGGAUGAUGUCAAGUCAGCAUGACCUUUAUAUCCAGGGCUACACACACGCUACAAUGGUCUGUACAAUGGGUAGCCAAGCCGCGAGGCGGAGCCCAAUCCGUGAAAGCAGGACCUCAGUUCAGAUUGCAGUCUGCAACUCGACUGCAUGAAGCCGGAGUUGCUAGUAACCGCAGGUCAGCAAUACUGCGGUGAAUACGUUCCCGGGUCUU